UGGGGAAUUUUGGACAAUGGGCGAAGCCUGAUCCAGCCAUGCCGCGUGAGUGAAGAAGGCCUUCGGGUUGUCAAGCUCUUUUAGUCGGAAAGAAAGAGUUGCAAUGAAUAAUUGUGAUUUAUGACGGUACCGACAGAAAAAGCACCGGCUAACUACGUGCCAGCAGCCGCGGUAAUACGUAGGGUGCGAGCGUUAAUCGGAAUUACUGGGCGUAAAGGGUGCGCAGGCGGUCUUGCAAGUCAGAUGUGAAAGCCCCGGGCUUAACCUGGGAAUUGCGUUUGAAACUACAAGACUAGAGUGCAGCAGAGGGGAGUGGAAUUCCAUGUGUAGCAGUGAAAUGCGUAGAGAUGUGGAAGAACACCGAUGGCGAAGGCAGCUCCCUGGGUUGACACUGACGCUCAUGCACGAAAGCGUGGGGAGCAAACA
rnacentral:rRNA from 1 species